rfam:Heterobasidion irregulare TC 32-1 unplaced genomic scaffold scaffold_07, whole genome shotgun sequence.
UCUCUGGUAGUAUAUCGGUUAGUACACGCGCCUGUCACGCGCGAAAGCGGGGUUCGACUCCCCGCCAGAGAG